ensembl:lncRNA
GUUGAAAUACACAGGUGUAUCCAGCCAGUAUACUGUAUACCACGUUGAAAUACACAGGUGUGCCCAGCCAGUGUACCACGUUGAAAUACACAGGUGUAGCCAGCCAGUGUACCACGUUGAAAUACACAGGUGUAUCCAGCCAGUAUACCACGUUGAAAUACACAGGUGUAGCCAGCCAGUAUACCAUGUUGAAAUACACAGGUGUAGCCAGCCAGUAUACCAUGUUGAAAUACACAGGUGUAUCCAGCCAGUAUACUGUAUACCACGUUGAAAUACACAGGUGUGCCCAGCCAGUGUACCACGUUGAAAUACACAGGUGUAGCCAGCCAGUGUACCACGUUGAAAUACACAGGUGUAUCCAGCCAGUAUACCACGUUGAAAUACACAGGCGUAUCCAGCCAGUAUACCACGUUGAAAUACACAGGUGUAUCCAGCCAGUAUACCAUGUUGAAAUACACAGGUGUAUCCAGCCAGUAUACCAUGUUGAAAUACACAGGUGUAUCCAGCCAGUAUACCAUG